UACGGGGGGGGGCAAGCGUUUGUUCGGAAUUACUGGGCGUAAAGGGCUCGUAGGUUGCCAACUAAGUCAGACGUGAAAUCCCUCGGCUUAACCGGGGAACUGCGUCUGAUACUGGAUGGCUUGAGAUUGGGAGAGGGAUGCGGAAUUCCAGGUGUAGCGGUGAAAUGCGUAGAUAUCUGGAGGAACACCGAUGGCGAAGGCAGCCCCCUGGGUCAAAACUGACGCUCAUGCACGAAAGCGUGGGGAGCAAACAGG
rnacentral:rRNA from 1 species